UACGUAGGGUGCAAGCGUUGUCCGGAAUUAUUGGGCGUAAAGAGCUUGUAGGCGGUUUGUCGCGUCUGCUGUGAAAUUUCGGGGCUCAACCCCGAACUUGCAGUGGGUACGGGCAGACUAGAGUGUGGUAGGGGAGACUGGAAUUCCUGGUGUAGCGGUGAAAUGCGCUGAUAUCAGGAGGAACACCGAUGGCGAAGGCAGGUCUCUGGGCCAUAACUGACGCUGAGAAGCGAAAGCAUGGGGAGCGAACAGG
rnacentral:rRNA from 1 species